CUACGGGACGCACCAGUGAGGAAUAUUGCACAAUGGGGGGAACCCUGAUGCAGCAACGCCGCGUGGAGGAUGACGCAUUUCGGUGCGUAAACUCCUUUUAUAUGUCAAGAAAAUGACGGUAGCAUAUGAAUAAGCACCGGCUAACUCCGUGCCAGCAGCCGCGGUAAUACGGAGGGUGCAAGCGUUACUCGGAAUCACUGGGCGUAAAGGACGCGUAGGCGGGUUGGAAAGUCAGGUGUGAAAUCCUACAGCUUAACUGUAGAACUGCACUUGAAACUUCUAAUCUAGAGUAUGGGAGGGGGAGAUGGAAUUAGUGGUGUAGGGGUAACAUCCGUAGAUAUCACUAGGAAUACCUAAAGCGAAGGCGAUCUCCUGGAACAUUACUGACGCUAAGGCGUGAAAGCGUGGGGAGCAAACAGGAUUAGAUACCCGAGUAGUC
rnacentral:rRNA from 1 species